rnacentral:lncRNA from 1 species
AUUUUUGGUCAUUAAAAAUAUUUUUGAUAUUUUGAUAUUUUUGGUCAUUAAAAAGUUUUUUAUUGGUUCACAUGGUCUGGAAUAAUACAGUUCUAGGUGGCUGAAUUUCAUUGAAGUUUUACUCUGUUUUUAAACAAGGUAUUACUGAGGACAUCUUGGCCUGCCUGCAGUUUUAUGAGAACAAAAGCGGCCUUAUGGUCUCCGUCACUGUGAGUCUUCUGUACUGCAGCCCUGGACCAAGGGUAACAUAAAGGUUGUUCUCACAGGAGAUGUGUUUAGAGCUGUCAUGCUGCCCUCCUUCUGUUGCGUUUGACAGUAAAUGAUUUUUUUCUGUACAUUAGAUCAGGUCAGUCUGCUGCUUAGGUGGAGAGGAAAGGUGCUAAGAUUGCUGUACAGAAAGGAGGAGGAGGAGAAGGAGGAAGAGAACAAUAGAAAGAAGGAAAAGAAAAAGGAAAGUAGAUCUUUACUGUAAUUGGGUUUUUCAUAAUAGACUUGAAAGCCAGGUUUCGCCGAAUGGAAUGCUGCUAUUGACGUACCCUUACCUCUUUCUUAAAGUUCCUAGGAGCCACCAUGUCACAGAGUUCUACUGUAAGCCCAGGAAUAGGGAUACACAGCAAAGAAGGGAGGGCAAACAGGAUGGAUGGAGGCUGGGACUUUGCCGCUCUCCUGACCACAUCAGCCCCAAGCCCACAGGAGCCUGUGUCUUCUAGUAAGGUAUUCUGGGAUGAUGAUGAUGAUGAUGAUUCCGGCCUCUCCUUUCGCAGCUGCCCAAUGGCAGUGGCAUCUGGGCCCUCGGGUCAGGAACACACAGAGCUGCAUCAGUGGAACUGAAGAGAGAGUUUCACCAGGUUGUUCAAAGGGGGGCUGUGCUCUAAAACACAUCAGUUAGGCUCAGGAAACUCUUGUGCUGAUGUCGCUGUGAGAGAAGACUGACUUACCCUUAAGCCAUACCCUCUAGGCCCCACCGCAGUUUGGAGCUUACCAAAACUGUUCUUGCCACUUCUAAACACUGCACAAGGAGGACUGGGGAUUUAGCUCCGUGGUUCUGCCACCUGCCUCGCAAGCGCAAGGACCCGGGUUUGAUCCCUGGAACCAAACAAACAAGAACAACAAAUAAACAUAACACAGUGGAAAUAGUUUCUGACUCCUUUUUACCUAGCUAUCCUUGCUUGUAUUUUCGUUUCUUGUCACUUGUUCUUAUAUGAUAAAGGAUAUGGCUUCUUUCUUCCACCGAGGCAAAUGUCACUCGUAUUAUUUUUCUUUCUGUCAUUCAAGUCCUGGCCUUAUUUGAGCAGCGGAGUGAGGCCUUUCUAUUAUUCAGGGUCCCUUUCAGACAGGGCCGUUUCUGUGGCCGUAUUGAACAACUCACAUUUUCAGAAUAUGUUUCUCACAAGCUCCUUGAAGGGACAGGCCCUGUUCCUUUAACAAUGUAAUUCUCCUGGGGGAGAAUAAUAUUGAUUAUUAGACCUGCACCUCCU